AAGACUCUUGAGCAGUAAUAAUAAAAAAGAAAUUCAUUUUUAUUAUUUCCCUUAUCCCUUGUGUUGUCCCUCCUUCCCCAUGCUGUUGGCUGUGAGCGUUUGGGUAUUGAAACACACAAACGCACACACACAGAUGCACACGUUCACAAACAGCCCACCACACAUCAGCACGCGCAAGAAGGGCAAUAGAUAAGGGAACAGCCCUUGCAGAUGUAUUUGUCACUCCCACAGCACUUUGUGGGAGUUUUACAGUCCUUGUUCCUGGGGCAUAUCUGACACCUCUUCCUCUUGCUCGCGGCGAGCGGGGCUGCCACGGAGGCUGCGGCCGCCGCCGCGACAACCACUCCUUCGCAGUAAUAAUAAAAAAAAGAAACACAUUUUUAUCAUUUCUCUUAUAGCUGAAUGACACAUGCAAAGACGUAGGUCUGGUGUAAUCUCAGCACGCCACGCUCCAAGUUGCGCGCCGGUGUGACCUAGGACCCCCGGGAUGCCCGCGUUGGGGAGUCUUUUCGGGUCCUGGGUCUCUGAAACGGCAAGGCUCGCAACGAGGGCCUUGCCGUUGUCGCGUACUCGAGCCUGUUCUUGCUCGGUCGAUUAGAAGAAGAAGAAGAAGAAUGAGAAGAAGGAGAAAAAGAAUACUCGUAGGGGACGAGUAUUUUUUAUGCAGUAGGGGAUGCUGACUUAAAAGAUAGUUUGAUUUGGAUUUCAACAGUAUACAUGCAGAUAAGAAUGCCCUGUGUGCAAUUAUCCAGGUGAUUUCUUACUCACCACUAGUUUUGUGAAAUACAUAAAAUAUUCAGUUUACACAGAUUACUAAGAUGGUACUUUAUAUUUGACAUCUGACUGACCUUUGCAGGAAGAUCCUUUCAGGACUUCUACUGUCAAUUUUCAUAUUGUAGUGAAAUAUGCAUAUUAACUGCUUCAUAUACACAUGAUUUUUUCAUCGUUAAUGAUUUAAAUUUGUAUUCUUUAUGACCACUAAUUGUUUUCAGGGGGUAAAGGAGGUGAAUGUGAGGUGGCUGCCAUGCCCCAAAUGCAAUUUGAGGUGGAAAGAUUCCUGGGUCCCUAAAACAGAGCUGGAAUAAUCCGGACAGAGGAGGAUGCAGCUUAUAUUUCUGCUUGUUUGACGUGUAAUUUGUUAUUUUAGAUGUUAUUGUAUAUUGUGUUAAUGUUACAUUUACUGUUUCUUGUUCUAUUUUACUGUUUUUAAAUAAAAUGUUAUUUAAAAA